UACAGAGGGUGCGAGCGUUAAUCGGAAUUACUGGGCGUAAAGCGUGCGUAGACGGUCGUGCAAGUCGGGUGUGAAAGCCCCAGCUCAACCUGGGAAUUGCAUUCGAGACUGCUCGGCUAGGGUGCGGAAGAGGGAAGCGGAAUUUCCGGUGUAGCGGUGAAAUGCGUAGAUAUCGGAAGGAACACCAGUGGCGAAAGCGGCUUCCUGGUCCGACACCGACGUUCAGGCACGAAAGCGUGGGGAGCAAACAGG
rnacentral:rRNA from 1 species